rnacentral:rRNA from 1 species
AACGAACGCUGGCGGCGUGCCUAACACAUGCAAGUCGAGCGCGAAUAGGGGCAACCCUUAGUAGAGCGGCGCACGGGUGCGUAACACGUGGGUAAUCUGCCUGGAAGCUCGGGAUAACUAGCCGAAAGGUUAGCUAAUACCGGAUAAGCCCCCGGGGACUUCGGUCCUUGAGGGAAAAGAUGGCCUCUGUAUACAAGCUAUCACUACCAGAUGAGCCCGCGGCCCAUCAGCUAGUUGGCGGGGUAAUGGCCCACCAAGGCAACGACGGGUAGCUGGUCUGAGAGGACGAUCAGCCACGCUGGAACUGAGACACGGUCCAGACUCCUACGGGAGGCAGGAGUGGGGAAUUUUGCGCAAUGGGCGAAAGCCUGACGCAGCAACGCCGCGUGUGUGAUGAAGGUCUUCGGAUUGUAAAGCACUUUCGACCGGGACGAAACUCCUUCACCUAAUACGUGGGGGCCUGACGGUACCGGGAGAAGAAGCACCGGCUAACUCUGUGCCAGCCGCCGCGGUAAUAC